rnacentral:rRNA from 1 species
CCUACGGGAGGCAGCAGUGGGGGAUAUUGGACAAUGGGGGAAACCCUGAUCCAGCGAUGCCGCGUGAGGGAAGAAGGUUUUCGGAUUGUAAACCUCUGUGGAGGGGGACGAUAAUGACGGUACCCCUUUAGGAAGCCACGGCUAACUACGUGCCAGCAGCCGCGGUAAUACGUAGGUGGCGAGCGUUGUCCGGAAUUACUGGGUGUAAAGGGAGUGUAGGCGGGAAAGCAAGUCAGAAGUGAAAACUAUGGGCUUAACCCAUAGCCUGCUUUUGAAACUGUUUUUCUUGAGUGAAGUAGAGGCAAGCGGAAUUCCUAGUGUAGCGGUGAAAUGCGUAGAUAUUAGGAGGAACACCAGUGGCGAAGGCGGCUUGCUGGGCUUUUACUGACGCUGAGGCUCGAAAGCGUGGGGAGCAAACAGGAUUAGAUACCC